GUGGAGUUUAGACAAAAUGCUAACUAACACUAGGGACAGAGGACCACAGUAUUUAAGCCUCCCCUGUCUCCAACUGGGUGGCAAUAAUAUUCUCUUUGUAGCAUUGAUUUAAAAAGAGAGUAGGGUUGGGGAUUUAGCUCAGUGGUAGAGCGCUUGCCUAGGAAGUGCAAGGCCCUGGGUUCAGUCCCCAGCUCCAAGAAAAAAAAAAAAAAGAGAGUAAGGUGAGGAGCGCACGUCCUCCAAGUCAGGAAUUUGGUCGGGAGCUGGAAGUCGCCUAAGCCUCAGGUUGGAAGAAAAGCAGGCAAAGUACACAGCUGAGGAAAACUCUU
ensembl:lncRNA